rnacentral:rRNA from 1 species
GGUUGAAGUCUGGCGGCCGGUUAAGACGGGCACUUCAAGGGGGAGGGUUCCUUUUGCUGAAGCGUCAACCGGCGCCCGGGUGAGUAACCGUAUGUCACCUGCCCUCUAGACGGAGAAAACGCCGGGGAACGGGCGCUGCUACUCCAUGACCUUGGUUGGUGGAGUCCUUGAUUGGGAAAGGCUCCGGCGCUUGAAGAUGGGCCUGCGUGUCAUCAGUCCGCCGCUAGAGUAACGGCCUCCCCAGGGCCACAAUGACUAGGGGGGUGGAAACGAUGACCCCCCCCCCGGGUACUGAAACCCGCACCCAACCCCUACGGAAGGCACCACUGGGAAAUAUUGGGCAAUGAACGCAAUUCUGACCCAGCCCUGCCCCUGGCAGAAUAACUGCCCUAUGGGUUGUAAACUGCUUUUGUUUGGGAAGAAACCCCCGAUCGUGAUCGGGGCUGACGGUACCAUACGAAUAAGCAUCCGCUAACUCCCUGCCGACACCCGCGUUAAUACGGAUGACGCAAGCUCUAUCGUGAGUCAUUGGGUUGACAGGGUGCGCAGGCGGAAUAUUAGCUCAGUGCUGAAAUCCUGCAGCUUA